CUAGUACUCCCUCCGUCCCGAAAUACUUGUCGGAGAAAUGGAUGUAUCUAGAUAUAUUUUAGUUAUAGAUACAUCCAUUUUUAUGCAUUUUUAUGACAAGUAUUUCCGGACGGAGGGAGUAUAUG
rfam:Triticum aestivum genome assembly, contig: Triticum_aestivum_CS42_TGACv1_scaffold_030246_1BL